rnacentral:rRNA from 1 species
UACGGGGGGGGCAAGCGUUGUUCGGAUUUACUGGGCGUAAAGGGCGCGUAGGCGGCCACCGCAAGUCGCCUGUGAAAUCUCCGGGCUUAACCCGGAACGGUCAGCCGAUACUGCGGGGCUAGAGUGCAGAAGGGGCAACUGGAAUUCUCGGUGUAGCGGUGAAAUGCGUAGAUAUCGAGAGGAACACCUGCGGCGAAGGCGGGUUGCUGGGCUGACACUGACGCUGAGGCGCGAAAGCUAGGGGAGCGAACGGG